rnacentral:lncRNA from 1 species
GAGAAAAAAAAGAAAAAAAAAACCCGGCUUUCCAUACCCUGCACUCGCAUUCUUCUCCAGCAUAGACAUGGAGCUGCUCUAAUCUCACGUAUAAAUUCACCCACAAAAGAAAUAAAGCUUAAAAAUGAUGGCAUUAUUCUCAAAUAAAGCCUGUGCCUUGUACAUCGCGCAAAACCGUAUAAUCAAUAAAACAAGGCAUCUUUGUGUUUCCAUAAAAUUUGACCAAAUUUCUGCUGAAAAUGAAGCCACAGUUGAAGAAAUCACUAUGAUUCUGAAGCACAGUAAUUGGAAAUAUUUAUUGGAAUCCUCACAUAUUCCACGAAGAAUUAACAGUGAUGUGAUGCAUUCAGUCCUGCAAAGAACUGAUUUUUCGAUUCAUCCGAAGCGCCUCCUUGAUUUCUUCAACUGGUCAACUAAUCAUCUGGGUACCUUUCAAGAUCUUCAUUCCUUUUCAAUUCUCGCGUUAGUUUUAUGCAGUUCUAAAAUUUAUUUGCCUGCCAUUGAUUUGUUGAGCAAGUUGGUGGAUGCCCGGGUUUCGGUUUUUGAUAUUCGUAGCUCAAUUUUGAAUGUUUAUAAAGAAUGUGAGAGGUUUAGAUCAAGUUCUGUCGUGUUUGAGUUGUUGAUCGAUGUGUACAGGAAAAGGGGAAUGUUGAGUGAGGCUGUUUCUGUGUUUUUAGGUGUUAAAAAUGCUGAUUUUGCAAUCAGUUUGUUGUGUUGUAAUUCUUUACUGAAUGAUUUGUUGAGGUGUAAUAGAAUGGAGUUACUCUGGGAAGUUUACGAAGGAAUGAUGGAGAAGAAAAUGGAUUUUGAUAUAUAUACUUAUACUAGUUUGAUCAGUGCUCAUUUCAGGGUUGGCAAUGUCAGUGAGGCUAAAAGGAUUCUAUUUGAGAUGGGAGAGAAGGGUUGUAGUCCGAAUACAGUUACCUAUAAUGUAGUUAUUAGAGGGUUGUGUGGCAGAGGGGCUGUUGAUGAAGCUUUGGAGUUGAAGAAGACUAUGCUUGAGAUGGGAUUGGGUCCAGAUAGCUACACGUACUCAAUACUUAUUGAUGGGUUUUGCAAAGAGAAGAGGUCCAAGGAGGCGAAAUUGAUUUUGGAAGAGAUGUAUAAAAUUGGUCAAAAUCCCGACCAUGUUGCCUAUACUGCAUUGAUUGAUGGGUUCAUGAAAGAGGGGAAUGUAGAUGAGGCUUUCCGAAUCAAGGAUACAAUGGCUGCAUAUGGAAUUAAGUUAAAUGUGGUGACCUUUAACACUAUCAUAAAAGGGCUUUGCAAAUUUGGUCAGAUGGAGAAAGCAGUAGAUCUCAUGCAUGAGAUGCUCGAAAUGGGAAUGCAUCCUGAAAACAAGACAUUUAAUUAUUUGAUUGAGGGGUAUAGUCGAGAGAGUAAUAUGGACAAAGUUAGUGAACUCUUGGUUGAGAUGAAAGAAAGAAACUUGGCACCUUCUGCAUACACCUUCGGUACUAUAAUCAACGAGUUAAGCCGCUCAGGAGAUCACCAACAGGCUAAUCUUUUGUUGGAGAAAAUGAUCUCAGAGGGUAUCAAACCUAAUUCUGUUAUUUGCACGACCAUCAUAAAAGGUUAUGUGCAGGAUGGUAAAUUUGAAGAGGCAAUAAAAAUUUUGGAGGAUAUGUGGCAAAAUGGAAUUUUGCCUGAUGUUUUCUGCUAUAAUUCAAUAAUAAUUGGCCUUUGCAAAUCGAAAAGGAUGGAAGAAGCUAGAAAUUGUCUUAUUGAAAUGGGGAAGAGGGGAUUAGCUCCGAAUGCCUACACCUUUGGAGCGUUGAUUUCUGGCUAUAGUGAGGCCGGAGAAAUGCAUGUUGCAGAAAGAUAUUUCAUGGAAAUGCUUGAUCGAGGAAUAAAUCUAAACCCUUACAUCUAUACUUCCAUGAUUUAUGGCCACUGCAAACAUGGGAACAUAACGCAGGCCUUCUAUAUAUUUAGAUGCAUACUUGAAAGAAAACUACUUCCAGAUGUGCAGCUUUACAGUACACUUAUAAAUGGCCUCUCAAAGAAUGGAAAAUUGCUAGAAGCAAUGAGAGUUUUCUCUGACUUGUGUGAUAAGGGGAUAGUACCUGAUGUUUAUACUUAUACUUCGCUAAUUUCUGGUUUCUCUAAGCAAUGUAAUAUGCUAGAGGCUUUCAGGCUUCAUGAUGAAAUGUGCCAGAAGGGUAUCAAUCCUAACAUCGUCACUUAUAACGCCUUAAUAGGUGGACUUUUGAAAUCUGGUGAGAUAGAGAGAGCUAAAGAACUGUUUGGUGGACUGUCCAAGAAAGGUUUGACACCUAAUGAGGUGACAUAUGCUACAAUAAUAGAUGGAUACUGCAAGUCUGGAAACAUGGAGAUGGCAUUGCCGAUGUUUCAAGAAAUGGUGAAGGAGGGCACUGCAUCUGUACUUACUUUCAAUACUUUGAUUGAUGGUUUCUGUAAAUUGGGAAGAUUGACUGAAGCAGUUGAGUUGUUAAAAGACAUGAUUGAUAAACAAAUCAUGCCUAAUCAUGUAACCUUCACAAUUCUAAUUGAUAAUUAUUGCAAGAUGGGCAUGAUGAGAGAAGCUGUAGAGCUUUUUCAGGAGAUGCAAAGUAGGAAUCUCGUGCCAACAAAUAUGACUUUUUCAUCCCUUAUACGUGGUUAUGACAAAAUAGAGGACAGGUCCAAGAUGUUUGCCCUUUUUGAUGACUUAGUGGCGAAGGGUAUUGAACUUGAUGAAGUAGCGUACACAUUAAUAGUUGACGCACUCUUCAAAGAAGGAAAUUUGGAGAAAGCCUUCAAGGUUUGGGAUGAACUUUUGGACAAGGGUAUAUUAAAAAGAAAGGUAAAUGAAAUACUGCUAGGGACUUGGUGUGGAAAUGCUGAAAUUUCAGAGAUUUUGGCAUUACUCGAUAAAGUGAGAGAGCAAGGAUAUAAACCAAGCCUUGCUACAUGCAGUACCUUGGUCCAUGGUUUGAAACAGUCAGGAUAUGCAGAAAAACUAGCUAAAGUUCUAGAUAGAAUGGUGAAGUUUGGCUGGGUACCAAAAUCGAUGAGUUUAGACGAGUUGAUAAGUCAAUAUCACAGAGGCGAUUCUGAGAAGAAUAUUGACUUCUCAAACCAAGCAGCUGCAGAAGUUGCUUGUCAGGUGCAAGCCUGACUCGAAAAGAGAACAGGAAUGACAACUUGUUUCUGAUGCUUUAUGAACCAACUGUCGAACCGAGGUGGCCCAGCUCCUCGCUUCAGGAUCUUUUUCCCAGAAUGUGAAAUGCUUUAUCUUGGGUAAGGUUUUUGACUAAAACUAACUCUAUUCUAUGAGGAAACUGUAACAUGAUCUUUUCCCUUUCUUCUUCUUUUUGUUGGUUUCUCCAUUCUUUUUUCUUCCUCUUCUUGCCCUGGGGCAGGAUCGAGGGUUGCUCAACUUUGGCAAGGUUACAAUUGCAGUUUUCUUUCUUGUCCUGGAUCUCCCUUGUAUGUUCUGUUGACUUGGCUGAUAAUUGCACCCUUGAUCUGACUUUCUUGGUGUGUACUCGAAAGUAGAUCCUUAAAUUUUUUUACAGCGCAAUAUCCAGAUAGUCUGCAAAACCCACUAUUUAUGUUCUCCCCAUGAUAUUUAUAUUGCAAUUUUAUCAUCUUAUAUUCUUGCUUUUUGACCGCAGUAUUUGGUUAAUUCCUAGGAUUUUGAUGUUAUGGUGUUUUUCUAAUUGCGUUUAUUACUUCUCCUGGUAUACAUUAUCUGUCACCCUUCAUUGGUUGUUCGAUUUAAUGAUUAUGUUUCUUCCUAUUUGUCAAGGAGCUCAACUUCAGGUUUCCUAGUUCAAUAUCACGAUUACCUCAUGAUUUGUGGCUUUGGAGAAUCAAAACAUGGUAUGUUAUACUUAUAUGAUUUCUCUUCUUAUCCAGAGUGCAAUCUAUUGAAAUGUUCUGUGUUUUUGAGUCACUUCUGAAUCGAGAUCAAAUAUUAGAUUUGGUUAUCUUAAUCUUACCUUGGAACUACAAUCAGAUCUCUAAUAACUAAUUGUAAACUGUCUAGAAUUAUUUUUAAUUGUAGGUUUUAUUUUGUUGCAGGAAGAAUAAUGGUACAUGAUUUAACUGCCAUGAGCUUUUCAAGAACUGGGAGGAGGUGAUUCCCAGUUGGUUUUCUUAUUCACUGUUAAAAUGUGUUGCGGCUGUACAUCAUAGAGGGCCUGUCUCGACUUUCUGUUUGCUUUUUAUGUUUGAAGUUGGCAAAUGGCUUUCGCUUAUUUAUGUUGAUGCUAUGUGAUUAAAUCCUUGGGGUGCAUUCUUUAACAAGAAAACAAGAUACAUGACCCUAUCGUGUAUUUACAUUUCUGCAAUUUUCAUUCUGUAGUUGAUUAGAAAACUAUAAAUCGUCGUUUCUCCCAUUUUUUUGUUCCUGAUAAGAACUGAUUCCAUAUGAUAGGUAAAUUGGUAUUACUAAUAUCAAAAUCUGCUCUUGGAUAGGCAAAACUGCAGCGCACCUUAUGUUUUGGAAUGUAUAUGAUAAUGGAAAACUUUCAGCAAAGGGGUAAAAUGCUUCGAUUUGGGCUAUAUAUCAGUUCUUUUAGCUUUGUAGUUAUUGAGUAAUGCCUAUUUGUACAUAAUGAUUUACAUAAAAAUGAGGCGUCAAAAGAAGAAUGGAGAUUUUUAUUUAUUUAUUUAUUUUAUUUUUAAUGAUCCAAUCAUAUCUCACCACAUCGUAUUUAUGUAAAAACAUCAUGUACAUAUAAUCACCAAUAUUAG